AGGGGUGGGUGGAGAGAGGAGGGCUUGGCCGAGCCUUGGAAGCCAGCCUCCCCGGGCCAAGCCUGCAGCCCGCGAUGCCCGCGCCCCGGGGCGUAAAGCGCAGCGUGGUGACCGCGGCCACCCAAGACUCCGGGAGCCGGUGCGCGGAGAAUCGAACCUGCCGCGGGAGGUGCUGGGAUUAAAGGCAUGCCCGGCGUAAGCUCAAUCUUUCUUCGCACAUGGAAGCUAGAAUUGUGGUCCAUCAUGAAAGGGAGAACGUUGCCAGCCUCACCCGUGGUAGAUCAACAGUACAAUUUCUUAGAAAUCCAGAACCCAGACUGGGUUAUUUCCUAAAAUUAAGGUCCUAGUGGAGGCUGCAACAGGAGACCCAAAGCCAUCCACCCCCUUGGACCCUCCAUCUCUGAAGCCUUCCUCUUAAGCCACAUCGCUGGAGGUGGAAAGAAGGAUACCUUUCUGACCAAGCUCAUCCAGAUGAAUCCUGUUGGACUCCAAGAAAUGGGGUGUCACAGGGGUGACUGGGUCACUGUCUCCUGCUCAUAUUACCACCGAACAAGUCCCACCAGAGCUGCCACCUAUGCGUAAGGUUGUGACCUGCUCAAGUCCACCUUGAAGAGGAGCUGAAAUCCUGCUCUGGCUCCACCCACCAAGCAGUGGUCACUGGGGUGUCAUUGUGUCUACCCAGUGUACAUGGUUUCUUUUUCAAAUUUGUUCCUGGUCACCUGGUAGGGGCUAGGGCCAGCUGUGAUUGUCCAACCAGCAUAGUCUAGGUUAUAAGCCUGAUUUUUGGAUGAAUAAAUGAUUCUCAUGAACACGUUGGCUUUACUACGAGAUGGAGGAUUUGGUAUGCAUUAAAAUUAACUUUGUAAAGUUCAAA